rnacentral:tRNA from 1 species
GCCAUUGUGGUGUAGCGGUCAGCACGCUUGACGCCUAUUCGAGAGGUCUGUGGUUCGAGUCCCGGCGAGAGCA